CAAACAUAAUUGCGUUGGCGCC
rnacentral:siRNA from 1 species